rnacentral:rRNA from 1 species
CCUUGUCGGGUAAGUUCCGACCUGCACGAAUGGCGUAAUGAUGGCCAGGCUGUCUCCACCCGAGACUCAGUGAAAUUGAACUCGCUGUGAAGAUGCAGUGUACCCGCGGCAAGACGGAAAGACCCCGUGAACCUUUACUAUAGCUUGACACUGAACACUGGUCCUUGAUGUGUAGGAUAGGUGGGAGGCUUUGAAGUGUGGACGCCAGUCUGCAUGGAGCCAUCCUUGAAAUACCACCCUUUAAUGGCUGGUGUUCUAACGUGGGCCCGUAAUCCGGGUUGCGGACAGUGUCUGGUGGGUAGUUUGACUGGGGCGGUCUCCUCCUAAAGAGUAACGGAGGAGCACGAAGGUCAGCUAAUCCUGGUCGGACAUCAGGAGGUUAGUGCAAUGGCAUAAGCUGGCUUGACUGCGAGCGUGACGGCGCGAGCAGGUGCGAAAGCAGGUCAUAGUGAUCCGGUGGUUCUGAAUGGAAGGGCCAUCGCUCAACGGAUAAAAGGUACUCCGGGGAUAACAGGCUGAUACCGCCCAAGAGUUCAUAUCGACGGCGGUGUUUGGCACCUCGAUGUCGGCUCAUCACAUCCUGGGGCUGAAGUAGGUCCCAAGGGUAUGGCUGUUCGCCAUUUAAAGUGGUACGCGAGCUGGGUUUAGAACGUCGUGAGACAGUUCGGUCCCUAUCUGCCGUGGGCGCUGGAGAAUUGAGGGGGGCUGCUCCUAGUACGAGAGGACCGGAGUGGACGCAUCACUGGUGUUCGGGUUGUCAUGCCAAUGGCAUUGCCCGGUAGCUAAAUGCGGAAGAGAUAAGUGCUGAAAGCAUCUAAGCACGAAACUUGCC